AAACUGCGAAUGGCUCAUUAAAUCAGUUAUCGUUUAUUUGAUAGUACCUUACUACUUGGAUAACCGUGGUAAUUCUAGAGCUAAUACAUGCUGAAAACCCCAACUUCGGGAGGGGUGUAUUUAUUAGAUAAAAAACCAACGCCCUUCGGGGCUUCUUGGUGAUUCAUGAUAACUUCACGGAUCGCAUGGCCUUGCGCCGGCGACGGUUCAUUCAAAUUUCUGCCCUAUCAACUUUCGAUGGUAAGGUAUUGGCUUACCAUGGUUUCAACGGGUAACGGGGAAUUAGGGUUCGAUUCCGGAGAGGGAGCCUGAGAAACGGCUACCACAUCCAAGGAAGGCAGCAGGCGCGCAAAUUACCCAAUCCCGACACGGGGAGGUAGUGACAAUAAAUACUGAUACAGGGCUCUUUUGGGUCUUGUAAUUGGAAUGAGUACAAUUUAAACCUCUUAACGAGGAACAAUUGGAGGGCAAGUCUGGUGCCAGCAGCCGCGGUAAUUCCAGCUCCAAUAGCGUAUAUUAAAGUUGUUGCAGUUAAAAAGCUCGUAGUUGAAACUUGGGCCUGGCUGGCAGGUCCGCCUCACCGCGUGUACUUGUCCGGCCGGGCCUUUCCUUCUGGAGAACCUCAUGCCCUUCACUGGGUGUGUUGGGGAACCAGGACUUUUACUUUGAAAAAAUUAGAGUGUUCAAAGCAGGCCUUUGCUCGAAUACGUUAGCAUGGAAUAAUAGAAUAGGACGUGCGGUCCUAUUUUGUUGGUUUCUAGGACCGCCGUAAUGAUUAAUAGGGACAGUCGGGGGCAUCAGUAUUCAAUUGUCAGAGGUGAAAUUCUUGGAUUUAUUGAAGACUAACUACUGCGAAAGCAUUUGCCAAGGAUGUUUUCAUUAAUCAGUGAACGAAAGUUAGGGGAUCGAAGACGAUCAGAUACCGUCGUAGUCUUAACCGUAAACUAUGCCGACUAGGGAUCGGGCGAUGUUCUUUUUCUGACUCGCUCGGCACCUUACGAGAAAUCAAAGUUUUUGGGUC
rnacentral:rRNA from 1 species